rnacentral:rRNA from 1 species
AACGCACCUUGCGCUCCCUGGUAUUCCGGGGAGCACGCCUGUUCGAGUGUCGUGAAUACCUCAAGCUGGAUGGCUUUAUUGCUUGUCUGGCUUGGAUGUGGAUGCUGCUGUCUUGGUCCUUGAUUGGGCUGACAGCUCGUCUUAAAUGCAUUAGCUGAUCCAUGACUUGUGUACUUGGUUCUACUUGGCGUGAUAAUUCUCUGACCGCUGAGGACAUCUGCUCUAGGGCGGAUGGCCAUGUAUGCCUUGGAUUGCUUCUAAUCGUCCUUUGUGACAAACUCACUUCACCCUUUGACCUCGAAUCAGGUGGGACUACCCGCUGAACUUAA